rnacentral:lncRNA from 1 species
UCGCCCGCCCUCGAGGAUUUGGCCGCCCCGACUCGAGACGAUGCCGCCGACGCCGCGCCGCCCGACUCGACGCCGGCGAUCUCUCCGGCCUACUGGACUUCUCACCGGUGGUUAGUCAUCGCAGCCCCUCCCCUCCCCCCUCCUCUCCAUGGCUGCCACCGCCCGCACGCCCUCCGUCCUCCUCGUCCUCACCGGCGAGCACGCCAAGAACGGCGUCCCCUACCCCAGCUCCACAUGGACCCUAACCCUAGGCCAGCCAGCUAGCUUGCCAAGAAUGCCCGCCUCCUCUAGCCUAUCUGUUUGUUUGUGCUACCGGGCUCUGUUCUGAUCCAGUGGCAAAACAGAUGUUAGCUUGUGCCUGCUGUUCUACACUGCCUUAUUUUCUAUACUGCUGUUCUGAUCCAGUGGCAAAACAGAUGCUAACUCUGUCAUGUGACUAUCUUCUACAUACAGUAUCUUUAACUAAAGUGGCAUUUUGAUUAUCAAGGAAAUUAUUAGUAUCUCGGUAACUAAAAUGACAUUUUAAUUAGCAGCGACUAUUCAGAUUUAACAAGGAACUUACAAAUAACAUGCUUUAACCUGUCAAGUCACGAGGAAGAUUUGCGGUGGUCUGGACUCUACUGGUGCAUGCUUUAACCAUCUUCUUUCAUUCUCUCGAACACGCAUCUAAUUGUGUGUCAUUUUUAGUUACCAUCGUCUUCCAUGCUUUUGCUUUUCACCGAGACAAAUUUCUAAUUAUCAGUAGCUAUUGUCUAAUUGUGUGAGUUGGUGUAACAAGGAAUUUGCUUUUGCCAGCUGUUUUAUCAGGAAUCCUUUUUGUGUGGUCAGGGAAAUCUUUUUUGUGAGGAUCUCUAUUUAGGUGUACUCUUCCUAUCCAGUUCAUUGGUCUGACUUCGAAGUGCCAGCUCAAUUAAUUAGGUGCCCUCACCAACCAAUGGUUAACCUAGCUGACCUCCCUUUUUGAAGCCAUGUAUAUACCCCUACACAGGCAGCUUAUUCCCCAUGCCAAUAAUUAGUGUCUCUUAGCUCCUAUGCUUGCAGUAACCUGCUGGCUUCCCUUUUUAAUUAGUCCUAUUAAAACAUCUGAAUUACUGCUGUGUAAUGCAUGGUAUGUUGUGAGACAGAAACAUGAAUCAGUGCUACUACAUCUGUUAAAUACUCCAACACAUGGUAUGUUGUGAGACAGAAACAUGAAGAAUCACUUGCACAUGUGACCAGAGACUUCCCAACCUUUAGGUUAAAUCUAGUGCCACAUAGCCAGCGCUGGACCUGGUGACCGUUGGGGUGGAGCGCUCACGUCCGCUUGGCGAUUCAAACUUCGCCGUCGGGCCGCCCAUGGCUGACCUCGCCGGCGCCGCCCCGGCGGCCGGCGGGUCGGCCGUCUCGGCUGCGCCACGCCCGGAGGUGGUUGCUCCCCAGGGUCCGUCCCUGUCCUUCGCGUCGUCGGCGUUCUCCUGGGCGGAUCUCGCGGACGAGGAGGCCAUGGACGUCGGACCGGUCGAGCGUCCGGUGAAGCUGGCUCUGCCGCUCUUCAGAGACUUCUGGGUGGCGGCCCGGCCCGCGCGCGUCAGUCCUCGCCGCCUCUCCGGCCGUCCCCGCCCCUUGCGGCCGCCGGUGGCGCGUCCCGUGGCUCGCCCGCCCCUAUCUGGGCCGGCGUCCCGUGCAGAUCGGCCGGUUCCUGUGGUCGCGGUGACCGCCGUCUCCGACCGUUGCCUGGUCCUGGCGGAGCCUGGUAGCUCUGCCGGGUCUGGUGCGGGGUCCGGGAAGGCCGCUCCGGCGAUGGCGCCGGCGGCGCUGCGGGAGGGGUUUGCCCCCUGGUCGGGUCCGGAUCGGGCCGUGCUCCUACGUGGGCCAGCUAGCGCUCGCAUGGUGGGCCGGCCCGGGGGAGCGUGGGAGGGCCUGCACCGUUCUGGGCCUGGUUCCUCUCGGAGGGCCAUCUGGGCUGACCCGGCGGCCCGCUGCGCGGCUGUCCAGUCCCAGGCCGUUAUUGACCGGGCCAACCGGGCCUGGUUGCUGUCCCACGCGGACCCGGCCCGUUGGGUGUGGAUCCAGCGUGGCGCUGGAGACGUGUCACACGGAUGGCAUGUGACCCGUUUAGAUGUCGCUAGGGCUGGACGGUGCGCUCGUCUCCUCCUCCCUAUUCCCUCGCAGCCGCCGCCUUCCCCCUGCGCUCCCGCCGUUCCGGCCGCCCUGGUCUUCGCCGCCGGCCCGUCUCCGUCCUCGCCGCGGUCAUCGCUCCCCAUCCCCCAGCCCCGCCCCCGGUCCUACCUGGAGGCCCUCAUGACCAGGGACGUCGGCAACGGAUUGCCGCGGCCGAAGAGGCCUCUGGACCAGGCGUCCUCCUCGCGCUCCGAUGUCCGGCCGGCUCGGGCCUCGGCGACCUACGCCGGAACUUCUCUGCNNNNNNNNNNNNNNNNNNNNNNNNNNNNNNNNNNNNNNNNNNNNNNNNNNNNNNNNNNNNNNNNNNNNNNNNNNNNNNNNNNNNNNNNNNNNNNNNNNNNNNNNNNNNNNNNNNNNNNNNNNNNNNNNNNNNNNNNNNNNNNNNNNNNNNNNNNNNNNNNNNNNNNNNNNNNNNNNNNNNNNNNNNNNNNNNNNNNNNNNNNNNNNNNNNNNNNNNNNNNNNNNNNNNNNNNNNNNNNNNNNNNNNNNNNNNNNNNNNNNNNNNNNNNNNNNNNNNNNNNNNNNNNNNNCCCCCGCGACCCAUCUCGGGAUGCCCGGCUGCCGCUGCCGGGGUCCUCGGGCGACCUGCGACGCCAGGAUGCUGCUCGCCGUCGCGCCAAUGGUGAUGAUGGGCGUCGCCGUGAUGAGGACCUUGCUCGCGAGGCGGAUCUGCGGGCGGAGCUGCAGACCCGGCCCCCUGCUGCCGACCGGGCGCGGGCUGUUCUGGAGCUGGGGCGGCCGGCGCCGCGGGUGCCUUCUCCGCGGGCGUCGGAUGGCGAUUGGCGUCGUGGGCGGCCUGCAGAUGACUCUACCCGUGCAUCUCGUGAGCGCCGGGCUGUCUCGGCUCGUGAUUCCCGCUCCCCCGAUCCUGGGCGCCGGGUGGAUCGCCGCUCUGACCGGGACGGCGGCCAGUCAGGGAGGAGGGGCGACUCUGUGACCGCGAGGGCCUCUCCUGCUCGCCGCUCUGUUAAGGCGCCUGGUGCCGCUGUUCAGUCAAAGAAGAAGAAGAAGAAGCACAAGAAGAAGAAGACCCCUGGGGUGGCCGCGUGUCCCGUUCCGGCUGGUGCUUCGGAGCUAGUGGCUCCUGAGCAGACCCCGCGAGUUGGCCGCCCCAGGACUCGCGGGGAGACGAUGUGCAUCAACUGUGGCUGCGCGGUGCCUUUCCGCUCGGAGUGUGAGGCCCCUCCUCGAUGCCCCACGACCCUUGCUUACCUUGGGUACGGGACUGAGGGGGGUGGUUUCUACUAUGUGGAUGCUGAGAUUGAGGAGGAGGCGGUUAGGCCGCACUUGGCGACGGUCACUCUUGCCCCCGAGCAGGACUUGCCGUCUGGGGUGGUGAUCUCGGCCGCCCUCAUCCAGGCCGAGCUCGCCGCAUACAUCGGCGACUUCCGCGACUCCGACUUCACUUGGGAGGUGACUGAGACGGCUCCCCUCGUCUUCUCGGUCCCCUUCCCCUCUGCUGAGCUGCUUCGCGUGUGUUCCCACGAUGUCAUCCGGUGUCCCAUCAACAAGCUCCUGAUCUCCGUUCGUGUAGCUGCCGCGGAGCCUGAUCCUGUGCCUCCUCUGGAGAGGGUGUGGGUUCUUGUCUACGGCUUGCCUCGAGGUGGCAGGUCGGCACCGCGGGGUGGCAAGCUUGCGCACAUUCUCAAGGCGAUCUCUGAGCCGGUGGGCAAGCUGGUGACCGCCGACUUGGCGUCUUUUGAGGAUGAUGGCCCAGCCCGCAUUGAGAUCCUGUGCCCCGCUUCGGCAGAGAUUGACGGUCUGUCCCUGGUCUUCUACUUAGGCACUAAGGGGAAGCGCCUGACCUUCGAGCUCGAGUCUCCGGUUCCUGAGGAUCUGCUUGGGCCGGCCCCCACAGCCACUGUGCCGCGCUUGGAUGAAGGGCAGGGUGGGGGCGGGGGCUCGUCCGAUGGGAGCUCUUCUUGUGAGGGGGAUGAUGAUGAUGAUGUGAUUCCGCCGGCUCCGUCUGCUGGGCGGCGUAGCCCGGUUUCUACUGUUGGUGGUUCUUCCGGUCCUGCUGGAACGGCCUCUCAGGUGGCGUCAGGGGGUGGGUUUGUGGCUGUGGUCGUCCCUCCCCCUGUUGCGACCCAGGUGGCUGACCCAGAGGUCGUGGAGGAGGACGUGGUGAGUGUGGGGAUGGAGGUGCGCCCCUCGUCGUCGCCGCGCUCGCCGGGGUCCCCCCUUCCCUUGCCUUGGGGGCCCUGGACCUGGAGCCGCCUCCGCCCUUGGACCUGGCCACUGUGACCCCUACCGCGGCCGACUCCAAGCUUCGGGGUGGGUCCUCUCCACUGGUGGCUGCGCGUCAGAGUGCAAGGCUCAGCCAGUCCCGGGUCAUCUUGGAUGGCCGUGUCCCGACGAUCUCGGAGAAGGCCGCCAUGCGGGCUGCAGCUCGUGACUUGUCCUCAGGUACCCCAUCCAUCCCCUCUGUUCCUUCUAGUUCUGAUUCUUGGUUUUCUGUGCUUGGUUUCGCUCCGUUGUCUCACCUGGCAGAGGUGGCCACCGAUAGUGGCAUUGUGUUUCGUGGAGAGAAGGGGCCCAUUCUUGAGCAGAUUUCUGCUAUUUGCGCCAAGGAGAGGCUCGAUGGGGCGUUGGCUGAAGCCCGUGCUUGUGCUGCGCGUGGUGAACCCAGCACCCCGGUGCACACUGACCCUGGUCAUAGAGAGACCAGGGCUGGUGAGGCGCCCCCUAUGGAGACUGGGGCGGAGACGCCCCUUGCAGUUCCCCCUCGGUGAGGGCUUUGCGAGGGCGCCCCCACACGUCUCAACCCCACUGAACACCGGAUAGAGGUGUGUGGGUCUAGUUCCAGGUCCGCUUCCCUCGGGCCGGAGGCUUCCGCCGCCCCCCUACGCGGGGGCGACGUGGACGCUCAGUGAAGGCAUCCCCCCGACCCGCGAUUGACGGGCGGGCUAGCUCGGCCCUGCUUGCGGGGACUAGGGAUUCCACUGAGGUUAUUAAAUGAAGCUCCUAUGUUGGAACAUUAGGGGCUUCGGCCUCUCUGGCCGGCGGCGGCAGCUCAUCGAAUAUUUGCGACAGGAAGAGAUUGACAUUGUGGGACUUCAGGAGACGAUUCGUCAGGACUUUAUUAUGCAAGAGCUCCAGGGGCUCUCCCGCCACCAGUUUGCCUGGCAGUGGCUGCCCGCUACGGGUCAAUCUGGAGGCAUCUUGCUCGGGGUCAGGGAGGAUGCUUUCUCGGUCGACGAUAUGGACCGAGGGGAGUUCUUCUUGAGCAUGUCUGUCACUGACCGACGAGUUCACUUCAGUUGGGAGGUGAUUUUUGUUUAUGGUCCUGCGGACCAUGCUCGCUCUGCCGUAUUCCUCGCUGAGCUUAAAAAUAAGGUAGAGAGGUGCACCACCCCGGUCGUGGUGGCCGAGGACUUCAACCUCAUUAGAUGGGCUUCUGAUAAAAGCUCGCCUAAUGUUGAUCGGGUCUGCAUGCGUCUAUUUAACGACUGCAUUGCAGACCUUGCGCUCCGUGAGAUAGCCCGCGUAGGGGCUAGGUUCACGUGGACGAAUAAGCAGGCGGACCCCAUCCGGAGUGUUUUGGAUCGGGUAUUUGUGUCGGCUCAGUGGGAAGUGAUGUUCCCAUUUUGCUCUCUCAAGGCGGUCACUCGGAUUGGCUCCGACCAUACCCUCCUGCUUUUCUCGUCGGGCGAUGUGUCUCCCCCUAGGACCCGCCGUUUCCGCUUUGAGACUUUUUGGCCGGAGCAGCCGGGCUUCUUUGAGUUGGUGCGCAACCGCUGGCUAGAGGCGGUCGCGUCCCCGCCCCGUGUGUUUUGUGCUGUGGAUGUGUGGCAUCACUGUGCUAAAUUGUCUCGUCAGGCCAUGAAGGGCUGGGGGGCGAACCUUGGUGCUGAGCUGCGAUCCCGUAAGGGGACCCUGCUGGAUCAGAUUAAGGUUUUGGAUGACCUUGCUGAUAGGCAGGGCCUGUCUCCUAAUGACUGGCUUAGGAGAUACGGCCUCGAGGCCUCGCUCAUGGACAUCUACAAGAGCGAGGAGCUCUUCUGGCAGCGGCGUGGGGGCUUGAACUGGCUCCUUAAGGGGGAUGCGAACACUGCCUAUUUUCGGGCGAUUGCUAAUGGCCGCAGGCAAAAGUGUGCUAUCCCUUUUCUCUAGGAUGUGGAUGUCCUUCUGGAAAGCCCAGAGGACAUCUCCACCCAUAUUUACUCCUUUUAUAAGGAGUUGUUCUCGGCUGAGCCGCGUGGAGGCGUCUCCCUCUGCGCUGACUUCUGGCCGCCUGCAGAGCAGGUCUCCAAUGCGGAGAAUGCGGAUCUUACUCUCCCUUUCUCUCCUGAGGAGGUGGGACGGGCGAUUGCUUCUAUGAAAGCCUGCUCGGCCCCGGGGCCGGAUGGCCUUCCGGUAGUCUUCUUUCAGAAAUUCUGGGAGAUCUUGCGCCCGAUCAUUAUGCCCAUGUUCCACGAGUUUUAUAUUGGAACCUUGGACAUGGCUAGGAUUAACUACGGUGUCAUAUCCCUGAUCCCCAAAGUAGUUGGGGCGACGGAUAUCCGCCAAUUCCGACCGAUCACGGUGAUCAACGUGUUGGAGCGAAUCUUUGCAAAGGUUUGUGCCACUCGUUUAUCACCGGUGGCGGAAAGGAUUGCUCACCCCCUUCAGUCCACCUUCCUGAAGGGCCGGUGGAUCCAUGAUGGAAUUCUUGCCCUUCACGAGAUCAUUCACUAGGUGGCGUCGAAGGGGCUCAAGGGGUUUUUCCUCAAAUUGGACUUCCAGAAGGCAUAUGAUCGUCUGGAUUGGUCCUUUUUGAGGUUGGUGAUGGAGCGACGAGGCUUCGACGUGAGGUGGUGUUCCUGGAUCAUGCAACUGGUUAGAUCUGGGAACACUGCGAUCAACAUUAAUGGUGAGGUGGGACCCUUUUUCCAGGCGUCCAGAGGAGUAAAGCAAGGGGACCCUGUUUCUCCCUUGCUUUUCAAUCUCGCAGUUGAUGCCCUUGCGGGCAUCUUAGAUAAGGCCAAGUUGGCCGGCCACCUUAAGCGUGUUGUUAGCCACCUCAUCCCGGAUGGGGGGGUUACUCACCUGCAGUAUGCGGACGACACCAUGAUUAUGGUGGAAGGCUCGGACUCUGACAUUGUUAAUCUUAAGUUCCUUUUGCUCUGCUUUGAGGAAAUGUCUGGACUUAAGAUUAACUUUGAUAAGAGCGAGGUGGUGGUACUUGGCUAUUCUGAGGCUGAGCAGCUUCGGAUCGCAGAUAAUCUCAACUAUAGGUUGGCGUCAUUCCCCAAUAUCUUACUUGGGGAUGCCCUUGGCCGAGCCCAGUAUUACAGUGAGUGGGUACGAUCCGCUAGUGGGGUGAGUAGCAUCCCGUGCGGAGCCCUGGUGCGGUAGGUUCACCUCUAAGGGCAGCAAAACUAUCCUCAUUAGCUCUAACCUUGCCAGCCUCCCCAUGUAUAUGAUGGGGAUGUACAUCUUACCUGAAGGUGUACAUAGCUCCUUCGACAAGGAGCUGGCUAGGUUCUUUUGGCAGGCAGGGGACGGUCGGCCCAAGUACCACAUGGUCAAGUGGGCUUACAUCUGUAUGCCUAAGGACCGAGGUGGGUUGGGCAUACCCGCAUCCCGCUGGAUGAACGUGGCGCUCAUGCUACGUUGGGUUUGGCGGAUCUUGCGGGGAGAUGGGGGGCUGUGGUUGCAGCUGGUUGAGGCCAAAUACUUGCAGGGCCAGCCCCUCUUGGUGUGUUCUCAGUCGGCUGGUUCUCAAUUCUGGAAAUCUAUUCAGGCCAUCAAGGAAGAGAUUAGGUUGGGUGUGCGCUUCUCGGUCGGCAAUGGGUCUGGGACCCAAUUUUGGUUGGACCCCUAGCUUCAGGGCGAGCUUCUCCGCCUGCGGUUCCCGCGUCUCUUUGCGAUUUGUGCGGACCCGGGCAUUCUAGUCUCUGAGGCGGCUCUGGAGGACGGAUGGAACAUUGCGUUCCGCCGGUCCUUAGGACCUGCUGAGGUCAGGGAAUGGGCAGACCUGAGGGAAGUAGUCCCUCUUCCUCUGUCCCUGGACCAUGAUUCGGUGUCGUGGAGCCUUUUGCCUUCGGGCGAUUUCUCCGUUAGUUCGGCUUAUCAAGCAUUAUGUAGGCUGCCGGUUCUACCGUGGCUAUCCCCAUUGUGGAAGGCACCGCUACCUUUGAAGAUCAAGAUUUUUGUUUGGCAGCUUCUUCGAGAUCGUCUCCCUUCAGGGACCGAGGUGCUGAAGCGCCAUGGUCCGUGCAAUGGACUGUGCCCUUUGUGCCAUGUCCCGGAAACGGGAACGCACAUUCUUUUCUCGUGCAUAGCAGCGCAGGCACUUUGGUGCUUUGUUCGUGAGGCUCUUGGGCCGGAGUGGGAGGCCACUGACCUCGCAGGAUUUCUGCAGGUUAUCGCCACCCAGGUUGGCCAUAAGCGCCGACUGUUCUGGCUUAUCUUCGCGGCUAUGAUGUGGACUCUCUGGACUACCCGCAAUAAGAUGGUGAUUGAGAGGGUGUUCCCGCGACGUGCUUCUGACUCGUUCUUCAAAUUUCUUGCCUUCCUGCAGCACUGGCAUCCGCUCGCUAGGCCGAGGGAUCGUGAUCGUCUUCAGCUUCUCUUGGACGCCCUGGUGUCUUCUACGCGCCGGCUCUCCGACCGCUUGUCUGCUACUUAGCUUGCCCCUGGAGGCCUUUGUUUUUUCCUUUCUUUUGGGCUUCUUUGUGCUGUGGCCCCAGCGUUUUCUCCUUUCUUGCUGACUGUACCUGAGAUGUGGCUGUAUGGACUUAUGCUUUAUCUAUAAAGCGGGGCGAAAGCCUAUUUCGGACAUGUGACCAGAUUUUGCAUGACAGUUCUCCAGUUCUUCCUUGGAAGCUUGCAAAACUUGAUGACUUGUAUUCCAUUCUUUUGUAAUCAAUCCUGUUUUCGAGCAAUUUAAGUUUGAUAAAUCAUUUCUUGCUUGCUGGAAACUUUGUUUUAAUAUAUACAGCUUGUUUCUUGCUAGUAGUACAAUGCUCCUACUACAAGUACAAUACUCCUUGCUUGUUCUAUUCCUGAAACUUGCUGUACUACAGGCCUACUUAUGUUCCAGAAGGCACUCUAAUGUUCAUCUAGCAAAACUUAUAGUUAUAAGUUAUUUUGAAGGCACUCUAAUAUUCAUCUCUUUUUGUUUCAUCAGGUUCUCAAGCACCAAAAGAAGCAACAAUAAACAAGCUGGAGGGAUAACUUUCUCUCAGAUUCUCAAAGAUAGAUGAUCAUGACACCAAAAGAUUGAUAUAUCUGUAUGCGGAAUUAUAACUGAUCUUGAGCUAUUCCAGAAGUACUUGUGUUGCGUUAUCUUUGCUGCAAAAUUAUGUUGGGGCUGUGAUGAACUGUUGUUGCUGCGAAAGAUCAUGUUGUCAUGAUAAAUUAUGAUUCCUGGGAUUCGGGAUUCGAAGUCAUGUUGUUAUGAUAAAUUAUGAUGUUGUUGUGAUGAUAUAUUGAUUUCGAGUCAUGCGAAAUUAUGUUGCUGAUGGGAAAAACUACUGCUAAAUUAUUCCCCUAUAGCAGCUUUUCUCAUUUUUAUUAGGUGGCCUUUACAAUUCUGUAGCAAGGAUAUAAGGGAGUUAGUUACAUUGUAAAGAUUGAAUUUUUAGAUGUUCUACACCAUGUUAUGUCAAUUUGACAAACCCUGCCUACCAAACAGAAAUUUUAAACGAAG